rnacentral:rRNA from 1 species
CCUACGGGAGGCAGCAGUGGGGAAUAUUGCGCAAUGGGCGAAAGCCUGACGCAGCGACGCCGCGUGAGGGAUGAAGGUCUUCGGAUCGUAAACCUCUGUCAGCAGGGAAGAACGGUCACUGUGCUAAUCAGUAGUGAAUUGACGGUACCUGCAAAGGAAGCACCGGCUAACUCCGUGCCAGCAGCCGCGGUAAUACGGAGGGUGCGAGCGUUAAUCGGAAUUACUGGGCGUAAAGCGCUCGUAGGCGGUAUGUCAAGUCAAGGGUGAAAUCCCCGCGCUCAACGUGGGAACUGCCUUUGAAACUGGCAAACUGGAGUGUGUGAGAGGAUAGUGGAAUGCCAGGUGUAGGAGUGAAAUGCGGAGAUAUCUGGAGGAACAUCAGUGGCGAAGGCGACUAUCUGGCACAUAACUGACGCUGAGGAGCGAAAGCGUGGGUAGCAAACAGGAUUAGAUACCCCGGUAGUC